rnacentral:tRNA from 1 species
GCUCGUUUGGCCAAGUGGUAAGGCGUCGCACUUGUACAGUAAUGUCAUGCGAAGAUCACUCGUUCGAGUCGGGUAAUGAGCA